ensembl:lncRNA
AUCUGAACGGAGUUCCCACAUUCGGCUUUCAGCGGGAAAGGAAGCUUGGUUGAAUUAGCUGUAUCCCUGAAAAUCGGAUGCAUCCGGUUGUUUCCACUCCGCUAAGGGUGGUCCUGAUGCUGGAAGAGGUAUAUUGCCAUUGGCUGCUUUCUGUCGAGACAUUCUUUUAAAUUUACACCUUGUUGCCAGGAAGUCGGCAUCUGUCUGAACUGUUAAUGCAGGUCAUUAAACUUUAGAAACAAUGUUUGGCCAUGACUCUGAUCAGAAGUAGUGCACUAUGUAGGGUUAAUACUGCCAUUUAGGACACAGCCUGUGACUGAGUCAGAUGCCUUCAAUUGGUCUGAAACACCACGGUCCCAUUUGUAUAUGGUUGUGUGGUUAAAUAAUCAUAAUUAGUUGUGAGUCACAAUCACUGCAGCUCCCAGUUUAUCUGCUCCCUUUAUCCCUCCUGAUCAGGAGAAAGAGGAAGCCAAUGGGAGGAGAGAAAAGGUUGGAGAACAGCUUUAUAGUUGAUGAGAUGGAUGGGUAGGUUUUUGCAUCUGUUCUUUAAAAUACAAAAUGUAACCUAGUUUCUUUUGUAGCUGUGCAGACAGUUCAUGUGAAAUAGUCUGAUACUACUCUGAACAUACGGUGAUAAUAUGGCAGUGGAUGGCUAAGUGCAUCACUACUGCCUUCCUAAGACCAAGUCAUUUAGCCAUGGAUCCAGAAAUGCCUAGGCUUUUUUUUGUGCCAGUGGUAUUAACAGUGCUUCUUGAGUAUGUUGUGUUACGGUGCAAAGGGUUGUCAGGUUGGAAUUUCCACUCUGUCACAACUACAGGGGGAUGUUAGAAGGUCAGAGUGUUGGAAGAUUGGAAUGGAUCUGACGGGAAGGUUGGGAUGUUGGAAGGUUGGGAUGUUGGAAGGUUGGGAUGUUGGAAGGUUGGGAUGUUGGAAGGUUGGGAUGUUGGAAGGUUGAAAUGGAAGGUUUGAGUGGAACUGAAGGUUGGAAUGAAACUGACUGGAAGGUUGGAAUGGAACUGACCGGAAGGUUUGAAUGUUGGGAUGUUGGAAGGUUGGAAUGGAAGGUUUGAAUGGAACUAACAGCUGGAAGGUGCUGUAUAUUGGUACCAUUAGACUUCCAGGUGAGGGGAUUUUAGGAAACAUACUGUACAAGGGAAAUCGUCUCCCCUCUCGAAAAAGAAGAGAGCUCUCAACCUUUAAAUGUGGUGGAUCUUGUCAGAUCCCCCAGACUCCAAGGCACCAUCACUAAUCAUGUGUUAACUUCUAUGUUUCCAGGUAUGUGCUUUUCCACAGCAUUUGUGUGUGCAACCAACAAUGACCAGAAUCGUACAUGGGGGUACGAGCUCAUUGAGGUCAGAGGUUAUGUCAUGGGUCCUCCCAUUUAGGUGAAUACUCUUUUUCUUUAAAACGUUGCAGAUUGGAAUUUUCCAUCUUGUGAUUGGUUGAGUUUAGGCAAUACAUUUUAUAAGUUUAGACAAGUAAUUACAAUUUGGUAAAGUUAUAUGGGUUGGAUUAAGUUUGGGUAAGAAAUGUUACAGGUUAAAAUUAGAAACCAGGUUAAGGGUUGGAGUAAGAUUAGAAAACAAAUUAAACCACACGGGGAUUCGAACUAGCAAUAUUGUGUAUGGGAAUCCCACUGUAAGCUCCACCCACUGACGCUUGAACUUUCAUCCACUCAGCUAAAAUGUGGAAGUCAAAAUACUUGGAAUAAAACCUCAAUUUUAUCAUAGUUCCGUAAGUACGACUGAAAAUCACGUCACCACUGAAGCAAUCGUAUUUGAGUGUCUUGGCGUUAACCUUUUGCGAUACAUAAUUGGCUUCAAAACUUACCUCGCUUAUCUCUUCCCUUUUUCAAGUCCCUUUGUUAAUAAUGCACAGUCGCAGUGAAACGGAAAUGUUCGACUUGAAUGCAUUUGCACUAACUACCCUGUGUGUAUUUCCCUCUCCCUCUCAUCCAGGUCAGUGUCACUGUGUUGGGAACAAAGCGGGCCUAUGAAUACACUUCUAACUUGAUAGGUAGUGUGAGUUACCUGUACCAGGUAUCAGUAGUGUGAGCAGUUGCCAGAAAUACUAUGCUUCGAAAGAACUGCGACAUUUGGAAUAGCAUUUACAAGACCUCCCUCAUUUAUAUGGGUAUUGAUGCAUUCCCAAACUCGUUUUUUCAUUCACCCAACAUAUACCACAUUUGUUCUCCAAUUACACAAAACCAAUUAGUUUUUUAUACACAUUACUUCCUUUUUGUCUAACUGUUUUUUUUUUCAUGUUGCUUAAAAUCCCAAUUAAUAUUACAGGAGUAGCCUACCCUGAAAUUACAAAAUUCACAUUUUUUUAAGCAAAAUGGACACCCACCCAUGGCCAUCCCACUGUGCACAUACAUCAGUUCAACGUCUUGUUUUCAUUUGGUUGAGUUGUGAACUAACGUUAAUUCAAUAACAACACAAAUGGCCGUGUCUUUGGAUUAAGGUAAAAAAUUGGGUGAAAAAAAGUUCUAUCAGUUUUCCACAUUGAUUCAACGUUGUCACAUUGGAAUUUUGUUGUUGAAAUGAUGUGGAAACAACAUUGAUUCCACCUGUUUUUGCCCAGAGGGAGUGAAUGUCAUGCAUUGACUACAACACAAUGGAUUGGAUACUCGUUAUGUCUAAGUCGGAACUAGGAAACUCUGAAAUUUCCGACUUGCUAACUAACUGGUUGAUCGCGGCACGUGUAUAACUAUAACCAGUUAGCAAGUCAGAGUUUCCUAGUUCCGAUUAGCACUUGAAUGCGGCAAUAUUUAAUAUCCCUUUCUAUAUAGGUUGUGUUUUGAAACUAUUGUCAUCUGUUCGAACGCUGUACCUGAUUUACAAUAGAAAAGCUAAAACUUUGUCAAUGUGAAAAAUGAUAUGUUCUUAAGUGCCUUACCUGUAUAAAUGAAAAAAUAAAUAAACAACAUCAAGAUGAGCAAUAGGGGGACUUGAACAGCGUGUUUAUUACCCUAUUUACUUAUGAGAGGUUGUCUAUGAAGACUCUGCUGAGACAAUGUGGUAAAUAGCAUACCAGAAGUGUCACACGAUUUCUGUUUUUUUAACGUGUCAAAACAUUUUGAAAUGUUUUUCGUUGCAUGCACUAAUGAACACUACCCAUGAGUUUUAAAGAUAAAAUGUUCUCAACUUAAUGGACUGAAACAGGGAGGGACAACCUGGACUUGUUCAAUAGGAAACUCUGGUUUCCGUUUUCCGUGUCAAAACAUUUUGAAACGUUUUCUGUUGUAUGCCGUAAUGAACAUUACCCAGGAAUUGUAAAGAUCAAAUUUACUUAACUCAAUAACAUGAUAUACAAUACACUUGAAUAAAG